AUGUCAGAAAAGAAGAGUUGCAAGCAAACUAGCAGCGCUGCACAAGGCAGAAUGUUACAUUUGGCUGCUAGUAGAGGACAUGCAAAGCUAGAUGGCCCAAUGCAAAAGGAAUCAUUCUUCUCCCCUUUCUUAUCCCUCAAGAUAAUUAAGCUAAUGGUAUUAGACAGGGAAGGAGUCCCAGGCACAGAAAUAUCAGAUGCAUCCUUUUUUUGUGGUAAGCAUGUACUUCUUUUGCUUCAAGUUGAAGACACACAAAUAACCACUUUACCACAAAAGCUUUAGCUUACUAGCUGUUCUUUUUAGUGCAGAUAUUGUCAGGCAUCCCAGUUACCACACAAGUCUUUUCACCAAGAGUAGAAACUGUCUUCACUAAAAGCUGUGGCAAGGUGAUGGAUCCAUUCUAUAGAAGAACUAUCAUCACCCACCUUGCACCCCACAGAGGGGGAUUCUGUUACUAAUAUUUUGGGAACAUGCCUUGAAAGGAAAACGCAGUGGCAUCUAGAAAUUCCCCUAUACAGUUUUGCUUCAGCAUGAUAAAUAGAGCAGAAGACACCUCUCAAACAGAUCUAGUUCUUCCACUAUUUCAAAGUUACAAAUGGUUAAGUUUCAAGGUGCUUGCCCACCAACUCAGCACAUUUUGAAAUGCAUGCUCUUUAAUGUUAGGCAUUACCCACACAAUAUAAUUUUACUUUUACAGAUACAAAACUGUGCAGGCCUUGUUAGAGACCUCAAGGCAAGAUUGAGUAAGUAUUUCCUGUUUAAUUUUCCCAUUUAUCUGGUUUUCUUCCAAGAGCAGCCUGCCAGUCCCAGAAAGAAGAGCAGCAGCUUCCCUCCUUCUUGAGGGUCUUGGUCUACUUAGGCUGCUGAUAUUGUAUACAUCCUGCAUAUGCCAUAACUGGUUUACUCCCACACACCACAGUUGAACAUUACCUCCAGCCACCUUCCCAAACCCCCAGGGCACAGUCAAUUACUAAACAGAAGAAACCUCAAGUCACAAGAGUUGCUUCCAAGAGGGCUAACCCAAGUUUUGAAAGAAGUUAAAAACUCUCCUCCUCCUAGCCCAGGAACACUCUCACAAAGCAGCCAUCACCAUAUAGGAGCCACUGCAUGACCCGGCCCAAGGGGGG
rnacentral:lncRNA from 1 species